GGUAGUUGUAUCCUGUGACGGAGGUAGUUCUCAGUUCACCCUUCGAUGUAAUAAUGCUGGAAUAUGGACUGGACCUACCAUCGUUUGCCCUGCGCCUGAUCCGGGUGCCACUCAUCAAACCUUCUGUAGUGCUCCGGUCAUUCCCCGUCAUUCAACCAACCAGAAUCUUCGUCUCUCAUACAAACCUGGCGAUAGGGUUAACGUGACAUGCAAUGAAGAUCAUAGUUCUUUCCUCUUGGUAUGUCGAGAAGGGUUAUGGAUUGGACAAAACAUAGUGUGCGAGGAACCAGAUGUAGAAUGCAACCCACCAAUUAUACCAGCUGUUUCAUCUGUCAAAAAUUUAAAACCUCG